AUAAACGCUGGCGGCGUGCAUUAUGCAUGCAAGUCGAACGGUGCCCGCAAGGGUACAGUGGCAAACGGGUGAGUAACACAUAAGUAACCUGUCCUCGAGUGGGGAAUAACCCGCCGAAAGGCGGACUAAUACCGCAUACGAUAGCUUCUCACAAGUGAAGUUAUGAAAGCCGCAAGGCGCUGGAGGAGGGGCUUGUGCCCGAUUAGCUAGUUGGUGGGGUAACGGCCUACCAAGGCUUUUGACGGGUAGCUGGCCUGAGAGGGUGGUCAGCCACAUGGGGACUGAGACACUGCCCCAACUCCUACGGGAGGCUGCAGUCGAGGAUAUUUAGCAAUGGACGAAAGUCUGACUAUGUGACGCCGCGUGAGGGAUGAAGGUCUUCGGAUUGUAAACCUCUUUCGAUAGGGAAGAAAACCUGUUCUUAACGGAACAGACUGACGGUACCUAGAGAAGAAGCCACGGCCAACUCUGU
rnacentral:rRNA from 1 species